AACAGAAAAGGGCAAACCUUUCAAAAGAUAGGGUCGCAAAGCUACAGGUCUAAGGUGAUCAACUAUGAUGGCUGAGCUGCUUAA
rnacentral:ncRNA from 1 species